AUUGAACACUGGCGGAAUGCUUUACACAUGCAAGUCGAACGGCAGCACGGGGGCAACCCUGGUGGCGAGUGGCGAACGGGUGAGUAAUACAUCGGAACGUGCCCAGUCGUGGGGGAUAACGUAGCGAAAGUUACGCUAAUACCGCAUACGAUCUCAGGAUGAAAGCGGGGGACCGUAAGGCCUCGCGCGAUUGGAGCGGCCGAUGUCAGAUUAGGUAGUUGGUGAGGUAAAGGCUCACCAAGCCUGCGAUCUGUAGCUGGUCUGAGAGGACGACCUGCCACACUGGGACUGAGACACGGCCCAGACUCCUACGGGAGGCAGCAGUGGGGAAUUUUGGACAAUGGGCGCAAGCCUGAUCCAGCCAUUCCGCGUGCAGGACGAAGGCCUUCGGGUUGUAAACUGCUUUUGUACGGAACGAAAAGCCUUGGGCUAAUACCCCGAGGUCAUGACGGUACCGUAAGAAUAAGCACCGGCUAACUACGUGCCAGCAGCCGCAGUAA
rnacentral:rRNA from 1 species